rnacentral:rRNA from 1 species
GAUGAACGCUAGCGGCAGGCCUAACACAUGCAAGUCGAGGGAGAGGUUAUCUUCGGGUAACCAAAACCGGCGCACGGGUGCGUAACGCGUAUACAAUCUGCCUUUCACAUAGGGAUAGCCCGAAGAAAUUUGGAUUAAUACCUAAUGGUAUAUAGGAGCGGCAUCGUUUUUAUAUUAAAGCUACGGUGGUGAAAGAUGAGUAUGCGUUCUAUUAGCUAGUUGGAGAGGUAACGGCUCCCCAAGGCGACGAUAGAUAGGGGUUCUGAGAGGGAUGUCCCCCACACUGGUACUGAGAUACGGACCAGACUCCUACGGGAGGCAGCAGUGAGGAAUAUUGGACAAUGGUCGGAAGACUGAUCCAGCCAUGCCGCGUGCAGGAUGAAGGUCCUAUGGAUUGUAAACUGCUUUUGUAAGGGAAGAAUAAGGAGUACGUGUACUUUGAUGACGGUACCUUACGAAUAAGCAUCGGCUAACUCCGUGCCAGCAGCCGCGGUAAUACGGAGGAUGCGAGCGUUAUCCGGAAUCAUUGGGUUUAAAGGGUCCGUAGGCGGGCUGAUAAGUCAGAGGUGAAAGCGCUUAGCUCAACUAAGCAACUGCCUUUGAAACUGUCAGUCUUGAAUGAUUGUGAAGUAGUUGGAAUGUGUAGUGUAGCGGUGAAAUGCUUAGAUAUUACACAGAACACCGAUAGCGAGGGCAUAUUACUAACAAUUUAUUGACGCUGAUGGACGAAAGCGUGGGGAGCGAACAGG